GCCCACGUAGCUCAGCGGUAGAGCAGCUCAUUCGUAAUGAGCAGGUCGUUGGUUCGAAUCCGACCGUGGGCU
rnacentral:tRNA from 1 species